GUGGCUUGGCGGCAGCCUACACAUGCAGUCGAGCGGAUGACGGGAGCUUGCUCCUUGAUUCAGCGGCGGACGGGUGAGUAAUGCCUAGGAAUCUGCCUGGUAGUGGGGGACAACGUUUCGAAAGGAACGCUAAUACCGCAUACGUCCUACGGGAGAAAGCAGGGGACCUUCGGGCCUUGCGCUAUCAGAUGAGCCUAGGUCGGAUUAGCUAGUUGGUGGGGUAAUGGCUCACCAAGGCGACGAUCCGUAACUGGUCUGAGAGGAUGAUCAGUCACACUGGAACUGAGACACGGUCCAGACUCCUACGGGAGGCAGCAGUGGGGAAUAUUGGACAAUGGGCGAAAGCCUGAUCCAGCCAUGCCGCGUGUGUGAAGAAGGUCUUCGGAUUGUAAAGCACUUUAAGUUGGGAGGAAGGGCAGUAAGCUAAUACCUUGCUGUUUUGACGUUACCGACAGAAUAAGCACCGGCUAACUCUGUGCCAGCAGCCGCGGUAAUACAGAGGGUGCAAGCGUUAAUCGGAAUUACUGGGCGUAAAGCGCGCGUAGGUGGUUCGUUAAGUUGGAUGUGAAAGCCCCGGGCUCAACCUGGGAACUGCAUCCAAAACUGGCGAGCUAGAGUACGGUAGAGGGUGGUGGAAUUUCCUGUGUAGCGGUGAAAUGCGUAGAUAUAGGAAGGAACACCAGUGGCGAAGGCGACCACCUGGAGUGAUACUCACACUGUUGGUGCGAAACGUGGGGAGCAAA
rnacentral:rRNA from 1 species